GAUCAAACCCACACCUCCUGCAAUGGAAGCACGGAGUUUUAACCACUGCAGGACCACCAGGCCUGAUUUCCACCCCAAGUUCACCAUGUGGCCUGAAAGAUUUCCUAUGUGGCAGAUGAGGAAACUGAAGUACAGAGAGGUCAAAUAAUUUGAGACACUACACUACACUGCUGGUUUUGAAGAAGGAAGGGGCCAGGAACCAAGGAAGAGAUGGCCUCUAGGAACAGAGACAAGCAGAUUUUGCCAUCAGAGCCUCCAGAAGGAACCAGCCCUCACACUGUAUUUUGGAAUUCUGACCUCCAGAACGAAAACAAAUGUGUUGUUUUAAGCCACUCAAGUUCGUGCCUAAAGCACCCACAAGAAAGAUAAGGAAUAUUAAAAUACAUGGACAUUUUGCAGAAAUGGUUUAAUGCUCAAUGCAGGGUCAUCAAUUUCUGAUCAAAACAAGUUUCUGUAUCACUUACAAACCCACUGUUCAGAGCAAACAGGUCUACAAAAAGGUUAACAAACAGUUUAGUAUAAAUUUUUCCUUUUCUCUGUAUAAACUUUUGAAAUUAGUAAUGUGACUGUCACAGCAAUCCUCACAAUACCUAUAAUUUAAGAUGGCAGUUUCAACAGCCUAGAAACUAAGUAUCAAAAUUUCACUCUGAUGAAAAGUUC